rnacentral:rRNA from 1 species
CCUACGGGUGGCAGCAGUGGGGAAUAUUGGGCAAUGGGCGCAAGCCUGACCCAGCAACGCCGCGUGAAGGAUGAAGGCUUUCGGGUUGUAAACUUCUUUUAAUAGGGAAGAUCAGAAGACUGUAUCUCUUGAAUAAGCCACGGCUAACUACGCGCCAGCAGCCGCGGUAAUACGUAGGUGGCAAGCGUCGCCCGGAUUUACUGGGUGUAACGGGCGGGCAGCUGGGAAGACAAGUCAGUUGAGAAAUCCCGCGGCUCAACCGCGGAACUGCUUUUGAAACUGUUUUUCUUGAGUACCGGAGAGGUAGUCGGAAUUCCUGGUGUAGCGGUGAAAUGCGUAGAUAUAAAGAAGAACAC